UGCAAGUCGAGGGGUAUGGGCAGCAAUGCCCAGAGACCGGCAAACGGGUGCGGAACACGUACAGAACCCUCCCUCCAGCGGGGCAUAGCCCUUGGAAACGAGGAUUAAUACCCCAUGACAUAACGGUGCGGCAUCGCACUGUUAUUAAAGGUUCACCACUGGAGGAUGGCUGUGCGGCCGAUUAGGUAGUUGGCGGGGUAAAGGCCCACCAAGCCUUCGAUCGGUAACUGGUGUGAGAGCACGACCAGUCACACGGGCACUGAGACACGGGCCCGACUCCUACGGGAGGCAGCAGUGGGGAAUUUUGGACAAUGGGCGCAAGCCUGAUCCAGCCAUGCCGCGUGAGUGAAGAAGGCCUUCGGGUUGUAGAGCUCUUUCGGCAGGAACGAAAUGGUUCGUGCUAAUACCACGGAUUGAUGACGGUACCUGAAGAAGAAGCACCGGCUAACUACGUGCCAGCAGCCGCGGUAAUACGUAGGGUGCAGGCGUUAAUCGGAAUUACUGGGCGUAAAGCGUGCGCAGGCGGUUUCUUAAGUCAGAUGUGAAAGCCCCGGGCUUAACCUGGGAACUGCGUUUGAAACUGGGAGGCUAGAGUGUGGCAGAGGGGGGUGGAAUUCCACGUGUAGCAGUGAAAUGCGUAGAUAUGUGGAGGAACACCGAUGGCGAAGGCAACCCCCUGGGUCAACACUGACGCUCAUGCACGAAAGCGUGGGGAGCAAACAGGAUUAGAUACCCUGGUAGUCCACGCCCUAAACUAUGUCAACUGGUUGUCGGGGGAUUAAUUCCCUUGGUAACGAAGCUAACGCGUGAAGUUGACCGCCUGGGGAGUACGGCCGCAAGGUUAAAACUCAAAGGAAUUGACGGGGACCCGCACAAGCGGUGGAUUAUGUGGAUUAAUUCGAUGCAACGCGAAAACUCACCUACCCUUGACU
rnacentral:rRNA from 1 species